AAAAUUUCAGUUAACAUCCCUUACACGAAAACCAAAAACGUACUUAAAGUAUAAAAGAUUAAACUAACUAAGAGAGAAACUCGAAAAUAAAACUAUGAGUAUGACUACAGAGUCUCUAGGCAUCCCCUUCGUCAUCCUCCUGCGGAACGGGUUCGGGAAACAUGUCUUCCUGAUCUGAAAUGGUUAAAUAAGGAGUGAGCUACACUAGCCCAGUAAGAACAUCACGAUAUCUCACCGUCACGGAGGUAAAGGUGGGUAGAAAAACACAAAAGACCAAUGGAGCAUGAUUUAUAACAAAUCAUUUUUAUUUAUGAUAAAACCUUUACCAUCCACUUACCUCGGUGGAAUUCAUGAAACAAUAUAAGAAAAUAAUAACAUUAUCACAAUCAUAGAAUAAUAUAAGCUGUAAAACAUAGCACUUAUCACGCAUUUUGUAAUUCAAUCAUUAUACAACAUAUCCUUUUCUCAUUCCCCAGCCUACUAGUAUCCAUGGGGGUCCAUAGGGGUCCCGCUACCCGUUAACCUUUAACAUUCAUAAUCAGUUUCCAGGGCCGUCCCCAUACCCCGUCCGGUAUGGGCGCCAAAACCAUAAACCUCAAUACCCCGUCCGGUAUGAGGGUGAAACGGGCCGUCCCCAUACCCCGUCCGUUAUGGGCGCCAAAACCAUAAAAUCUCCAUACCCCGUCCGGCAUGUGAGACCACAAUCCCGGUAGGGUUCCCUACGGACCCGGUCCGUCCACCAUCUCCCAGGAUAUCUAGUCAGGCUAACCCCAUCAUACAAUUAUCAGUCUACACAAUCUUUCAUUUUCCUUUUUUCCUCAAUAAGCAUCAUCAAUUCACAUUUAAGAAAGCAAAUCGUAAUUCAUGCCAAGCAGACAACAUACAGUAUCAGUUCUUCAGUCUUUCAACCCAUAAAUAAAUAAAACAGUAAUAUAUGCACUCGAAACUAUAAAAUGAACACAUCAAACCUCAUAAUGCAUUUAAAGCUGUAAAACAUGCCAAAUAACAGUAAAUCAUAAAUCACACUAGACUCGGGCUCCAUUAGCAACCUUGGGCAAUUUCACACAUGCGUUAAUUCAAGAAAUACCGUUUUAUCAUUUUGAACUUUAAUACCGUGAUAGGAAAUAUGGUGAGGGGUCCUUACUUGUUUUCGGGAUCCGAAUACGAUUCACAGUGCGCCUACAGGCCG
rnacentral:lncRNA from 1 species